UGCAAGUCGAGCGGGCCCUUCGGGGUCAGCGGCAGACGGGUGAGUAACGCGUGGGAACGUGCCCUUCGGUUCGGAAUAACUCAGGGAAACUUGAGCUAAUACCGGAUACGUGCGAGAGCAGAAAGGUUUAUCUGCCGAAGGAUCGGCCCGCGUCUGAUUAGCUAGUUGGUGAGGUUAUGGCUCACCAAGGCGACGAUCAGUAGCUGGUCUGAGAGGAUGAUCAGCCACACUGGGACUGAGACACGGCCCAGACUCCUACGGGAGGCAGCAGUGGGGAAUAUUGGACAAUGGGGGCAACCCUGAUCCAGCCAUGCCGCGUGAGUGAUGACGGCCUUAGGGUUGUAAAGCUCUUUUCUCCGGGACGAUAAUGACGGUACCGGAGGAAUAAGCCCCGGCUAACUUCGUGCCAGCAGCCGCGGUAAUACGAAGGGGGCUAGCGUUGCUCGGAAUCACUGGGCGUAAAGGGCGCGUAGGCGGCUGAUUUAGUCGAGGGUGAAAGCCCGUGGCUCAACCACGGAAUGGCCUUCGAUACUGAUUGGCUUGAGACCGGAAGAGGACAGCGGAACUGCGAGUGUAGAGGUGAAAUUCGUAGAUAUUCGCAAGAACACCAGUGGCGAAGGCGGCUGUCUG
rnacentral:rRNA from 1 species